AUUAAAGAGUUCUAUAACUCCCAAACCCAUGUGAACAUACCUAACGUUGCCUCGGCAGGUCGCACCUACCUUGUAGCACCCUACCCUGUAGGGCCUACCCGGGAGGUGCGGGUAAGCCUGCCGGCGGCCCACCAAACUCUGUUUGAUAUUGAAUUCUGAACCUAUAACUAAAUAAGUUAAAACUUUCAACAACGGAUCUCUUGGUUCUGGCAUCGAUGAAGAACGCAGCGAAAUGCGAUAAGUAAUGUGAAUUGCAGAAUUCAGUGAAUCAUCGAAUCUUUGAACGCAUAUUGCGCCCAUUAGUAUUCUAGUGGGCAGGACCGUUCGAGCGUCAUUUCAACCCUUAAGCCUUCGUUGCUUAGUGUUGGGAGCCUACGGCAACGUAGCUCCUCAAAGUUAGUGGCGGAGUUGGUUCACACUCUAGACGUAGUAAUUUUUUAUCUCGCCUAUUAGUUGGACUAAUCCCCUGCCGUAAAACCCCCAAUCUAUAUCAAGGUUGACCUCGAAUCGGUUCAGACAAACUCGCUAAAUUGAAGCAUCUUAGUCAGCGAAGGAAAAGAAACCAACAGGGAUUGCCCUAGUAACGGCGAGUGAAGCGGCAACAGCUCAAAUUUGAAAUCUG
rnacentral:rRNA from 1 species